GAGUUUGAUCAUGGCUCAGAUUGAACGCUGGCGGCAUGCCUUACACAUGCAAGUCGAGCGGAUGACGGGAGCUUGCUCCUUGAUUCAGCGGCGGACGGGUGAGUAAUGCCUAGGAAUCUGCCUGGUAGUGGGGGACAACGUUUCGAAAGGAACGCUAAUACCGCAUACGUCCUACGGGAGAAAGCAGGGGACCUUCGGGCCUUGCGCUAUCAGAUGAGCCUAGGUCGGAUUAGCUAGUUGGUGGGGUAAUGGCUCACCAAGGCGACGAUCCGUAACUGGUCUGAGAGGAUGAUCAGUCACACUGGAACUGAGACACGGUCCAGACUCCUACGGGAGGCAGCAGUGGGGAAUAUUGGACAAUGGGCGAAAGCCUGAUCCAGCCAUGCCGCGUGUGUGAAGAAGGUCUUCGGAUUGUAAAGCACUUUAAGUUGGGAGGAAGGGCAGUAAGUUAAUACCUUGCUGUUUUGACGUUACCGACAGAAUAAGCACCGGCUAACUCUGUGCCAG
rnacentral:rRNA from 1 species